rnacentral:rRNA from 1 species
CCCUAUGGGGUGCGGCCUGGAGAGGCAACGGCCCAGUACAUCAAGAACGUGCUCGACAGGAUUGUGCUGCCCACCGCUAUUUUCCUUGCAUUCCUUGCUAUCGUGCCCAAUAUUGCAAUGCGCAAUCAGCAGAUUCCCGCGUUCGCGUUUGGCGGAACUUCUCUGCUUAUCAUUAUUGGUGUUGCACUUGAGACUGUUCAGGAAAUAGAGGCAUAUAUGAUGAUGCGUCACUACAAGGGGUUCAGGAAGUAAUGAUGCAUCACCCGCGUAUUGUCCUGUUGGGUUUGCCAGGUUCGGGAAAGGGCACUCAGGCGGCUCUUAUUGCUGAGAAGUUCGGAGUGCCCACCUUUUCGAGUGGUGAGUAUUUCCGGAAUCUGCGGCGGGGGGGC